rnacentral:rRNA from 1 species
GAUUAGGUAGUUGGGGGGGUAACGGCCCACCAAGCCUGCGAUCAGUAACUGGUGUGAGAGCACGACCAGUCACACGGGCACUGAGACACGGGCCCGACUCCUACGGGAGGCAGCAGUAACGAAUAUUGGUCAAUGGACGAAAGUCUGAACCAGCCAUGCCGCGUGAAGGAUGAAGGUCCUCUGGAUUGUAAACUUCUUUUAUCUGGGACGAAAAAAGGUUAUUCUUAACCACUUGACGGUACCAGAGGAAUAAGCACCGGCUAACUCCGUGCCAGCAGCCGCGGUAAUACGGAGGGUGCAAGCGUUAUCCGGAUUCACUGGGUUUAAAGGGUGCGUAGGUGGAUUAGUAAGUCUGUGGUGAAAUCUCCGAGCUUAACUCGGAAACUGCCAUGGAUACUAUUAGUCUUGAAUCUCCUGGAGGUAAGCGGAAUAUGUCAUGUAGCGGUGAAAUGCUUAGAUAUGACAUAGAACACCAAUUGCGAAGGCAGCUUACU